CCAGAUAAGUCCGGUUUCUUCUGUGGAGGGUACGCAGUUAAAGCCUUGAUUUCCUGGAUCUGGUAACAUGGCAAAAGAUGCCAGUCUAAUUGAAGCCAACGGAGAACUAAAGGUCUUUAUAGACCAGAAUCUUAGUCCUGGGAAAGGUGUGGUGUCUCUUGUGGCUGUGCACCCAUCCACAGUGAACACACUGGGGAAGCAGCUUUUGCCAAAAACCUUCGGACAGUCCAAUGUCAAUAUCACACAGCAAGUGGUGAUUGGCACGCCUCAGAGACCUGCAGCAGCCAACACUAUUGUGGUAGGAAGCCCACACACUCCCAACACUCACUUUGUGUCCCAGAACCAGACGUCUGACUCCUCACCUUGGUCUGCUGGGAAGCGGAACAGGAAAGGUGAGAAGAAUGGCAAAGGCCUGCGGCAUUUCUCCAUGAAAGCCAGGCGUUAGGAUGGAUUUUCCCAUUUGUCAAAUCAUGCAGAGUCCAGAGAACAAGGCGAUAGCAAAGCUCCACUGUUAACGCUGCGCGCCAUACGUCUCAUGACUGUUUUUCCUUAAAUUAUACUGACUGUCCAGUUCCAUCAAUCAACCUUUUCUCAAGCAGCAGCAAAGCGAGAAGUAGUGUUUCUUGUUUGUUUGUUUUGUUUUGUUUGGAAGAAGUUUACUGCCACGCUGGCGCAGCUAUGGAAAUUGUCUAGAAAGUUUGCUUAUGGUAAAUUUGCCUGAUUUCUUACAGGCUACGUUUGGAAACUUUUUAUUAUAUAGUUUACAUACUUAUAAGUCUAUCAUUUAAAGACGUGUACUGAAACAAAUGUUGUAUUUGUUUCAUAAGCAUCUUCCUGUAAUCUAUUAUAAAAUUGAAAUUAAACAUAGAGAAUGUUUUAACAGUUUUUUAACUCAAAAUUUGUCAAUCAUUUUUAAUAGUUCUUUUUUUAUAAAAAGAAAAAGGAAUUUAAGGACAGGCAAUAGUCUCUUAAAAUUUAUUCACAAGAACCGUUAACUGCACAGCUGCCCUUAGCUGCCUGUUCUAAAUGAUGGUCUUUUUAUUGAAACACAAAUAAACUUUUCUGUAAUAUUUUAUGGAAUAUAAAGAGACUUUAAUUGUUUGACCUGUUUAACUAAGCACUGUUAGUUUUUAUUAAUAAAACGCGCAUGGGCAUUUUAAA
rnacentral:lncRNA from 1 species